AGUGGGGGAUAGCUCGGCGAAAGCCGGAUUAAUACCGCAUAUGCCCUGAGGGGGAAAGUGGGGGACCGUAAGGCCUCACGCUUUCGGAGCGGCCGAUAUCAGAUUAGCUAGUUGGUGGGGUAAAGGCCUACCAAGGCGACGAUCUGUAGCGGGUCUGAGAGGAUGAUCCGCCACACUGGGACUGAGACACGGCCCAGACUCCUACGGGAGGCAGCAGUGGGGAAUUUUGGACAAUGGGCGAAAGCCUGAUCCAGCCAUGCCGCGUGAGUGAAGAAGGCCUUCGGGUUGUAAAGCUCUUUCAGACGGGAAGAAACGACUAUGGCUAAUAACCAUGGUUAAUGACGGUACUGUCAGAAGAAGCACCGGCUAACUACGUGCCAGCAGCCGCGGUAAUACGUAGGGUGCGAGCGUUAAUCGGAAUUACUGGGCGUAAAGCGUGCGCAGGCGGUUUUGUAAGACAGGUGUGAAAUCCCCGGGCUUAACCUGGGAACUGCAUUUGUGACUGCAAGGCUAGAGUACGGCAGAGGGGGGUAGAAUUCCA
rnacentral:rRNA from 1 species